CAAGGAAUUUUGGGCAAUGGGGGCAACCCUGACCCAGCGACGCCGCGUGGGGGAUGACGGCCUUCGGGUUGUAAACCCCUUUUCUCUGUGACGAAGAUGACGGUAGCAGAGGAAGAAGCCCCGGCUAACUACGUGCCAGCAGCCGCGGUAAUACGUAGGGGCGAGCGUUGUCCGGAAUUACUGGGCGUAAAGCGCACGUAGGUGGCCAGCUAAGAUGGGCGUGAAAUCUCCGGGCUCACCUCGGAGGGGUCGUCCGUGACUGACUGGCUAGGGUCUGGUAGAGGCGUGUGGAAUUCCCGGUGGAGCGGUGAAAUGCGUAGAGAUCGGGAGGAACACCAGUGGCGAAGGCGACACGCUGGGCCAGGACCGACGCUGAGGUGCGAAAGCGUGGGGAGCGAACCG
rnacentral:rRNA from 1 species